CAGAAUAUAGCUAAACCAGUAAAGCAUCUCACUUACACCGAGAAGACGUCCAUGCAAGUCGGACUAAUCUGA
rnacentral:tRNA from 1 species